UAACAGGAUUAGAUACCCUGGUAGUCCACGCCGUAAACGAUGAGUGCUAGCCGUUGGGCCCGUAGGGUUCAGUGGCGCCGCUAACGCAUUAAGCACUCCGCCUGGGGAGUACGGUCGCAAGAUUAAAACUCAAAGGAAUUGACGGGGACCCGCACAAGCGGUGGAGCAUGUGGUUUAAUUCGAGGCAACGCGAAGAACCUUACCAGGCCUUGACAUGGGGAGUAUGGAUAGCAGAAACGUUAUCCUUCAGUUUGGCUGGCUCCCACACAGGUGCUGCAUGGCUGUCGUCAGCUCGUGUCGUGAGAUGUUGGGUUAAGUCCCGCAACGAGCGCAACCCUCAUCCUUAGUUGCCAACAGGUUAAGCUGGGAACUCUAAGGAAACUGCCGGUGAUAAGCCGGAGGAAGGUGGGGAUGACGUCAAGUCUUCAUGGCCCUUACGGCCUGGGCUACACACGUGCUACAAUGGCGGUGACAAUGGGCAGCUAACGCGCAAGCGUAUGCUAAUCUCAAAAAGCCGUCUCAGUUCGGAUUGCACUCUGCAACUCGAGUGCAUGAAGCUGGAAUCGCUAGUAAUCGCAGAUCAGCACGCUGCGGUGAAUACGUUCCCGGGUCUUGUACACACCGCCCGUCACACCAUGGAAGUUGGUUCUACCUUAAGUCGCCCUUAAAAGCGCCCACGGUAGGGUCAAUGACUGGGGUGAAGUCGUAACAA
rnacentral:rRNA from 1 species